rnacentral:rRNA from 1 species
GAUGAACGCUAGCGGGAGGCCUAACACAUGCAAGCCGGGCGGUAUUUGUUCUUCGGAACAGAGAGAGCGGCGCACGGGUGCGGAACACGUGUGCAACCUGCCUUUAUCUGGGGGAUAGCCUUUCGAAAGGAAGAUUAAUACCCCAUAAUAUAUUGAGUGGCAUCAUUUGAUAUUGAAAACUCCGGUGGAUAGAGAUGGGCACGCGCAAGAUUAGAUAGUUGGUGAGGUAACGGCUCACCAAGUCAAUGAUCUUUAGGGGGCCUGAGAGGGUGAUCCCCCACACUGGUACUGAGACACGGACCAGACUCCUACGGGAGGCAGCAGUGAGGAAUAUUGGACAAUGGGUUAGCGCCUGAUCCAGCCAUCCCGCGUGAAGGACGACGGCCCUAUGGGUUGUAAACUUCUUUUGUAUAGGGAUAAACCUACUCUCGUGAGAGUAGCUGAAGGUACUAUACGAAUAAGCACCGGCUAACUCCGUG